GAGAUGGCUCUUGCUGUGUUGCCCAGUGUGGUCUUGAACUGGACUCAAGCAGUUCUCCCAUCUCAGCCUCCCAAAGUGCAGGGAUUAUAGGUGUGAGCCACCCCACCUGGCCAACAGUAACUCUUUUAAAAAGAUACAAAUGCCUGAAAGGAGACAGAAGAGAAGACACAGACACAGAGAAAGCCAUGGCCAUGUGAGGAUGGAUACCAAGAUUGGAGUUAUGCAGCUACAAGCCAAGGAACUCCUGGAGUCACCAAAAGCUGGAAGAAGCAAGAAAAAUUCUCCUCUAGGGCCCUUGGAGGGAGGGUAGCCCUGCAGACAUCUUGAGUUCAGCCUUUUUUCUCCAUAAAUGGCAGAGAAUAAAUCUGUGUUGUCACCCAGUUUGUGGUAAUUUGUCCCAGCAUCCCUAGAAAACAUGUAUAUAUAUAUACACACACACAUGCACACAAAUAAACAGCAGCCUUUCUACGUGUUAUACAGGAUGUGUUUUCCCCAAUUUUCCACAUUUUUCCACAGUAAAGAUAAUAUAUUGUUUUAAAAGUUGGGUAUAAAGAAGUUUAGCAAAUUUAAU
rnacentral:lncRNA from 10 species